rnacentral:rRNA from 1 species
GAUGAACGCUGGCGGCGUGCCUAAUACAUGCAAGUCGAGCGAACAGACGAGGAGCUUGCUCCUCUGACGUUAGCGGCGGACGGGUGAGUAACACGUGGAUAACCUACCUAUAAGACUGGGAUAACUUCGGGAAACCGGAGCUAAUACCGGAUAAUAUAUUGAACCGCAUGGUUCAAUAGUGAAAGACGGUUUUGCUGUCACUUAUAGAUGGAUCCGCGCCGCAUUAGCUAGUUGGUAAGGUAACGGCUUACCAAGGCAACGAUGCGUAGCCGACCUGAGAGGGUGAUCGGCCACACUGGAACUGAGACACGGUCCAGACUCCUACGGGAGGCAGCAGUAGGGAAUCUGCCGCAAUGGGCGAAAGCCUGACGGAGCAACGCCGCGUGAGUGAUGAAGGUCUUCGGAUCGUAAAACUCUGUUAUUAGGGAAGAACAAAUGUGUAAGUAACUAUGCACGUCUUGACGGUACCUAAUCAGAAAGCAACGGCUAACUACGUG